GCCCCGCCGUGCUGCCGUGAGGAAAGCAGCGCUCGGGUCGCGUUAGAAGGCUGACGUCCCAUUUAUCCGCACUGCCCCCCUUCGCGCUAGAAGAGCCGCUGAAGUGAUAACUGUAAAAUGUCCGAACCCAGAGCAAACAACGGGAGGGAGAGCGUGGAUAGAGGCACGCUGGGAGAAGGGAGCGAUGGAAAAACAAACUCAGAAGCCAGGCACUGAAGAGAGAAAAUGAAGGAAAUACUUCAAGUGUUGUCUGACUGCCAAUGGGAAACGUGCAGUGGCAAUGACCUGCUGCAAAACAACGGGCACUGCCUGGAAGUGGAAGAACAAGACAGGACAGAUAAACGGGACAAACAGAAUUCUUAUGAAGCAGCACGUCUGAAGUGGUUGGAUCCUGGUCUGCAGCAGCAUUCUUGGGCAUUGAAACUGGCCAUUGAUCCCGUGCAAUUGUACCUGCCACACACUAACAAUUGCCUGUCAUGAUUCUGGAGUCAUGUGGCCCAGACGUCCUCCUGGUUUUUCAAUACCAUGUUUUCUCUUCAAGAGAGAUUAUCAGUAGUGAUAGGAGAAAUUCCAUUACAUAGGCCAAAGAGUGGUCAUUAGCUUGUUAAUUCAGGCACUCACUUUGCUGAGGUUGAUCAAUAAAACAUAGCUGGGGAGAAAGCAAAAGCCCUGGGCACACUCCCACCCCUGAGUAAGAGAAAAGCUGUUUCUUUGGGACCAAAUGUAGAUGAAGUGAGAACAUCUUUCAGAGACUGAAUCUUGGUUUAACAAGCAUACUAGAUAUACAUCUUCUGAUCUUUCUCAUCUUCUUGUGAUGUAUAAAGAUGAUUGAGAUUUAAAAUUGAAGAAUUAAACAGCAUAAUGAAAAGAGAGAAUUAAAACCAGAGCCUGAAUGAUCCCGUGACAAAGGACAGAUGUAGAAGAGGACAGACUGCGAAAGUCCUCUUUUUAACCUUUUCAAGAAGUUAAAAAGCAUAAUUUUACUUGGAUGCUUCCAAGAUGAUGCAUACAUUUAAUUAUGGAUGCUGGUAACAUCAAAACAUGACAGCAAAACAUGACAAUGCUGGCGCU
rnacentral:lncRNA from 1 species